rnacentral:lncRNA from 1 species
AUUCCGCCACAAGCGAACGAGCCUGGGCUGGCCUUGUGGAAGCCUAGCCGAGGCCUCAGAAUAUGGAUGAGAUCAUCUGAGACCAUCCACCCCAGGAAGCCAGCAAAGUGGCUAGAACCCGCCAUACCACCGCAGAAUCACGAUUGCUGUUCUGAGUCACUACAUUUCAGGUGACUUGUUGAGCAGCAAACGAGCUGACGAACCUAAAGUCAGAAGAUGCUAGCGGAAGAAACAGGACCCAGAACUCCAUUGGAAAAUGGGGUAUACAGACUUCGAGGAUGCCAGACAAAAAGAUCAUUUGAAAUAUUGUUGUCACUAAGCCUUCUUUGAUCAAGACACCAUGAGCUCAUGACAAACGCCUCAAUUUCCUUCUUCUGUAAAUAAAUUAAUACCUGGUGAGAUGUAAAAGCCCACUUGAACGGAAAACAACAUGUUUGAUGAAAUUCUGAGAGAAGAUACAACCCAAGAUAAAAAGAGAGGGGAGAGUGGAGUAAAGAACUGCCUAACCUAAUGCUAAUGGAAGCACGACAGUGAGCAAGACAGACAAGGUCACUACCCGCAAGGAGCUGUUGAUGGAGAAUAACAUGCAAAGAAGAAGGUAAGAAACUGACCAGAUUGCUUACUGUGAGUGGGAAGGUGGUGAAAAAGUUACAGGUGGAGAGUGCUGAAAAGAGCAAAGAACACAGUAAGAGACGUGAGUAUGGAAACAUGGAGGUAGUAACAGACACCAUUAGGAGAACAGCAGGGGUUGAAGAUCAUGAAUUUACAGUAAAUCAAUAUGAAUAAUUUUGUGAUAUUUUUAGCCACUUGCAACCACUCAGAGUAGAUUUAUUCAGUAUUGAGGUUGCUGAGUGGGUCUGAAUGAAAGACUAUUAAGGAAAAGGAAAUACUGGGAAGAUGGUUCAUUGGAUUGUUGAAAAAUUGUGUUGACUUCAUAUUGAAACCUCUUGUUAAAUACAUCUAAAUCUCCAAUCUGAUAUCCUCAAGAUUAAAGAACAACUCUGUCCAACAGUUGCUGGAGCA